rnacentral:rRNA from 1 species
GACGAACGCUGGCGGCGUGCCUAAUACAUGCAAGUCGAGCGGUAACGCUUGGUGCUUGCCCCAAUUUGGAGAGCCGCGAACGUGUGAGUAACGCGUGUGGCCUCUCCUUUUGAGUGGGGGACCACAUGUUGAAACGAAUGCUAAUACCGCAUAAUAACUUUAACCAUAGGUUUUAAGGUUGAAUGAUGCAAUUGCAUCACUCAAAGAUGAUCCCGCGUUGUGUUAGGUAGUUGGUGAGGUAAAGGCGCAUCAAGGCGGUGGUACAUAGCCGACCUGAGAGGGUGGUCGGCCACCUUGGGAAUGAGACACGGCCCAAACUCCCUCGGGAAGCAGCAGUAGGGGAACUUCGGAAAGGGGCGAAAGUCUGGCCGAGCAACGCCGCGGGAGGGAAGAAGGGUUUCGGGUCGGAAAACUCUGUUGGUAGGGAAGAAAGUGGGUGAGACUGGAAAGCUGAGCAAGUGACGGUAACGACCCAGAAAGCAACGGCUAACUACGUG